GAUGAACGCUGGCGGCGUGCCUAAUACAUGCAAGUCGAGCGAACGGACGAGAAGCUUGCUUUUCUGAUGUUAGCGGCGGACGGGUGAGUAACACGUGGAUCACCUACCUAUAAGACUGGGAUAACUUCGGGAAACCGGAGCUAAUACCGGAUAAUAUUUUGAACCGCAUGGUUCAAAAGUGAAAGACGGUCUUUCUGUCACUUAUAGAUGGAUCCGCGCUGCAUUAGCUAGUUGGUAAGGUAACGGCUUACCAAGGCAACGAUGCAUAGCCGACCUGAUAGGGUGAUCGGCCACACUGGAACUGAGACACGGUCCAGACGCCUACGGGAGGCAGCAGUAGGGAAUCUGCCGCAAUGGGCGAGAGCCUGACGGAGCAACGCCGCGUGAGUGAUGAAGGUCUUCGGAUCGUAAAACUCUGUUAUUAGGGAAGAACAUAUGUGUAAGUAACUGUGCACAUCUUGACGGUACCUAAUCAGAAAGCCACGGCCAACUACGUG
rnacentral:rRNA from 1 species